CCGCUGCUAGAGCCGCCAUUUUUUAUUCCGUCACGUUCGUUGGGGAUUCACAGCCUUCUACAAGCUGCUUUUGGGGUUCUUCUAAGGUAUUUAUUCACCACGGGGAUACUGCUUCACUUCACAAAAGCUAAGAAUGACCCGCCACUAGCUACUAGCUACUACUAUCAGCACUGUGCUUGUAAUGAGUUAUGCAAACGGCUGAAAUUGAACACCAACCCAGAGGCCAGAGGAGUCCAGACUAAAACAGCACAUUCCCCCGGAGUCCUCAUACCAGGGACAGAAAGAAACAUGGAGCCAGGAAAUGUGAGGGAUUUGACGCCUAGGAUGCGGCAGGCUGGCUUUUUGUGUGUAAAGCUGAAGUUGAAGAAUAUAAUUGUCCUAGUUCAAGUAAACCUGCUCCCACGUGUGGGUUCAGGUGUGAAAAAUCUUUUGGGGUCAGGCUUCAGAGUAGCGUCCGUGGAGAAGCAAACUUCUCAUAGGGUGGGCCGACUGCUUGCCUUUACGUGAUUCGUCAAGAUCUGAGGUAAUCCACGUAGUGCCCUCUGGGUAGUGUAGUUUAUGUAACGUUAGGGUCAUUACCAUUCAUUCUUACACAGAGUCUCUCUCUGUCAGUGGUUGAGUACCGGCUACAUGCAGGAAGUAGCAGUAGGCUCUAUGCGAGAAAAAGUGCAGGUACGCUUAAGAGUAAAAUGUAGAAGUGCCGGUACUGUGUACCGGUGAGUCCCGGCCAACUUUGAGCACUGAA